GAAAGCGGGGCUAAUACCGGAUAUACUUUUCGAAUUGCGAGGUUUGGAGAGGAAAGGUGCCCUCUGGGACAAGGUACCGUAUGAGGAGGAGCCUGCGUACCAUUAGCUAGUAGGUGGGGUAAAGGCCUACCUAGGCGACGAUGGUUAGCGGGUCUGAGAGGAUGAUCCGCCACACUGGAACUGGAACACGGACCAGACUCCUACGGGAGGCAGCAGUGAGGAAUUUUGCGCAAUGGGCGAAAGCCUGACGCAGCGACGCCGCGUGGGUGAAGAAGGUUUUCGGAUCGUAAAGCCCUGUCAGAAGGGAAGAAGUGCUGUGUAGUUAAAACCUGCACAGUUUGACGGUACCUUCAAAGGAAGCACCGGCUAACUCCGUGCCAGCAGCCGCGGUAAUACGGAGGGUGCGAGCGUUGUUCGGAAUUACUGGGCGUAAAGGGCGCGCAGGCGGCUGGUCAAGUCAGAUGUGAAAGCCCACGGCUCANCCGUGGAAGAGCAUCUGAAACUGGUCAGCUUGAGUACCGGA
rnacentral:rRNA from 1 species